GUCAAGAUAGCUCAGUUGGUAGAGCAGAGGACUGAAAAUC
rnacentral:tRNA from 1 species